rnacentral:rRNA from 1 species
CCCUUAGAUGUUCUGGGCCGCACGCGCGCUACACUGAUUCAUGCAACAAGUUUUGUCCUUGGCUGAUAGGCCUGGGUAAUCUUUGAACGUGAAUCGUGAUGGGGAUAGAUGAUUGCAAUUAUUCAUCUUCAACGAGGAAUUCCUAGUAAACGCAAGUCAUCAGCUUGCAUUGAUUACGUCCCUGCCCUUUGUACACACCGCCCGUCGCACCUACCGAUUGAAUGGUCCGGUGAAGUUCAUGGAGUGGUGGUUGUUCCAAUUGCUGUCGAAGUGAAAUGGACCUCACGAUUUAGAGGAAGGAGAANUCGUANCA